rnacentral:misc_RNA from 1 species
UAAAUAAAUCUGCUUUCUCCACUACAAAGAAAUGCCAGUUAACUUCAUUCACACCUCUUCAUCUCAAAGUUAAGAUUCCAUGAAUUAGUCUUUCUUUUUUUCUUCCCCCUUCAAGAAAAAAAGUUGAAAUUUUCACCAAUUUUCUUUGUGACCAUGAAAGUCCUAAAUAAAAAAUUUGAGUAAUUCUUUACUUUUAUCCUAUAUAAAGGAAAGAAGUCAAACAUAAUAGUGUUUUCUACAAACAU